CGGCGAGUGAAGCGGCAACAGCUCAAAUUUGAAAUCUGGCUCUUUCAGGGUCCGAGUUGUAAUUUUGUAGAGGAUGUUUUCGGGUGUGGCUCCGGUCUAAGUUUCUUGGAACAGGACGUCAUAGAGGGUGAGAAUCCCGUAUGUGACUGGUAGCCUAUGCUCAUGUGAAACUCCUUCGACGAGUCGAGUUGUUUGGGAAUGCAGCUCAAAAUGGGUGGUAAAUUUCAUCUAAAGCUAAAUAUUGGCCAGAGACCGAUAGCGCACAAGUAGAGUGAUCGAAAGAUGAAAAGCACUUUGGAAAGAGAGUUAAACAGUACGUGAAAUUGUUGAAAGGGAAGCGCUUGCAACCAGACUUGCAUGUAGCUGAUCAACCGGUGUUCUCACCGGUGCACUCAGUUACGUUCAGGCCAGCAUCGGUUUCGACGGUUGGAUAAAGGCCUUGGGAAUGUAGCUCCUCUCGGGGAGUGUUAUAGCCCAGGGUGCAAUGCAGCCUGUUGGGACCGAGGACCGCGCUUCGGCUAGGAUGCUGGCGUAAUGGUUGUAAGCGACCCGUCUUGAAACACGGACCAAGGAGUCUAACAUCUAUGCGAGUGUUUGGGUGUCAAACCCAUACGCGUAAUGAAAGUGAACGGAGGUGAGAACCCUUAAGGGUGCAUCAUCGACCGAUCCUGAUGUCUUCGGAUGGAUUUGAGUAAGAGCAUAGCUGUUGGGACCCGAAAGAUGGUGAACUAUGCCUGAAUAGGGUGAAGCCAGAGGAAACUCUGGUGGAGGCUCGCAGCGGUUCUGACGUGCAAAUCGAUCGUCAAAUUUGGGUAUAG
rnacentral:rRNA from 1 species